CGAGCAGGGAAAGCUGCUUUGCUGCUCAAGAGGGACAGAACUAGGUCGAAGAGAUUCUUGGAAAUUCAGAAACUCAGAGAAAA